GACGAACGCUGGCGGCGUGCUUAACACAUGCAAGUCGAACGGUAAGGCACCAGCUUGCUGGGGUACACGAGUGGCGAACGGGUGAGUAACACGUGGGUGUCCUGCCCCGCACUUUGGGAUAAGCCUAGGAAACUGGGCCUAAUACAGGAUACCACCGCACCGAGGGGGGGAGGCAGAGAAUCUUUCGGUGUGGGGUGGGCCCGGGGCCCAUUAGCGUGUUGGUGGGGUAAUGGGCUACCAAGGCGGCGACGGGUAGCCGGCCUGGGGGGGGGGACGGCCACAAUGGGACUGAGGCAGGGCGCAGACUCCUACGGGAGGCAGCGGUGGGAAAUAUUGCACAAUGGGCGGAAGCCUGAUGCAGCGACGCCGCGUGGGGGAUGACGGCCUUCGGGUAGUAAACUCCUUUCACCAUCGACGAAGGUUUUCUGACGGUAGAUGGAGAAGAAGCACCGGCUAACUACGUG
rnacentral:rRNA from 1 species